rnacentral:pre_miRNA from 1 species
AAUGUACUUCCUCCGUUUCAAAUUACUCGUCGCAGAAAUGGAUGUAUCUAGAACUAAAGUACAUCUAGAUAUAUCCAUACCUGCGACAAGUAAUUCGGAACGGAGGGAGUACAUU